UACGUAGGGUGCGAGCGUUAAUCGGAAUUACUGGGCGUAAAGCGUGCGCAGGCGGCUUUGCAAGACAGAUGUGAAAUCCCCGGGCUCAACCUGGGAACUGCAUUUGUGACUGCAAGGCUAGAGUACGGCAGAGGGGGAUGGAAUUCCGCGUGUAGCAGUGAAAUGCGUAGAUAUGCGGAGGAACACCAAUGGCGAAGGCAAUCCCCUGGGCCUGCACUGACGCUCAGGUGCGAAAGCGUGGGGAGCAAACAGG
rnacentral:rRNA from 1 species